rnacentral:rRNA from 1 species
UACGAAGGAUCCUAGCGUUGUCCGGAUUUACUGGGUUUAAAGGGAGCGUAGGCGGCCUUUUAAGUCAGUGGUGAAAGCCUGCAGCUUAACUGUAGAAUUGCCAUUGAAACUGAUUGUCUCGAGUGCGGUUGAGGUCACUGGAAUGUAUCAUGUAGCGGUGAAAUGCUUAGAUAUGAUACAGAACACCAAUUGCGAAGGCAGGUGACUAAGCCGUAACUGACGCUGAGGCUCGAAAGCGUGGGGAUCAAACAGG